AAGGUCUCGUCCAGAGACGAAACUCACACACUUUCGGCGGCCGAACUCCCUCUUUCGGCGGCCGAAAGUCCCUUUCUAAACCGAAAGCCUAGCUUUCGGGGGCAACCUUUGGCAGCCGAACUGCCUCCACAAAGGGUUCGGCGGCCGAACCUUCCUUCGGCGGCCGAACCUGGUUUUGCCCGAAGGACAGAACCCUGCUCUGUUUCAUGCAAACUUUGCCCAAAAACCUAC
rnacentral:lncRNA from 1 species